AGUGAAUUUUGUGAUAUUCUGAACGCGGGUCUUAUUCCCGCUACUUCCUUAAAAUUUUAAGGUGGAUUAUUUCAGACCACACAAGUACAGACCACACCCGCAAAUCAUUUCAGCCUCCCAAAUCGCCUCCAUCUCUACCACACGCAAAUCCAAAUCGCCUCCCAAAUCGCCUCCAUCUCUAUUUCGUUCUCAACUCUGAACUUGCCCUCUCUCUGCGACUGCAAACUACAAGAUCAACAAGAAUCAGAUCAACCUCCCAAAUCGCCUCCAUCUCUAUUCUCGUUCUUGACUCUGAACUUGCCCUCUCUCUGUCUCUGCAACUGCAAACUACAAAAUCUACAAGAAUCAGAUCAACCUCCGAAAUCGCCUCUAUCUCUAUUCUCGUUCUCAACUCUGAACUUGCCCUCUCUCUGCCUCUGCAACUGCAAACUACAAAAUCUACAAGAAUCAGAACCCUCUCUAUUUCCUCUUUCUCCCUCUAUCUUUCUCUGUCUAUCUUUCUCCGUUUCUCUCUUGACAUAGAUACAUACAUACUCAGGAAGAGAAAACCUAGAAUCUGACAUUACCCGCUUUUAGGCCCCAUUAAUGGACACCGACGUAGCGAGGUGCCCGCCGACGAUGGAUCUACCGUCGCCGAACCUCCCUCUGAUCCCUCUGCUACCAAGAAAUCCAAGCGAUUCGAGAUGAAAAAAUGGAGUGCCGUAGCUCUCUGGUCUUGGGAUAUUGUUGUGGAUACCUGUGCAAUUUGUAGGAACCAUAUCAUGGAUCUCUGUAAGAGCUUUUGGUUGUGUUAUUUUGUGUAGGUUUUUCUUCAUUGUUAUUGCAUAUGCUGUGUGAUUUGGAUGUGUGUUGAUUUUGAUUAGGCAUUGAGUGCCAAGCUAAUCAAGCAAGUGCGAGUAGCGAGGAGUGCACUGUUGCUUGGGGUGGUGAGCUGUAUUGUGGAAGUCCAUGUGCUAAUGAAUUUAAAAUCCUAAGUUGACAUUGUUAUGUACCCCCCGUACGAAAAGUGAGAACUGGUUAGCAGUGCUGGUGGUAAUGCUAGUGACCACAUGCCUAACUUCCUUAGUGAUCAUCCUUUGUUGGCACAGUGAAUGAAGAUGGUUGGGCAAGCUUGGCGGUGCUACUUCUUUUUGCAAUUUUUUGUUAGCACUUGGUUUUCUUUUUUUUUAACAAUGAUGGAGACUUUGUACUCUAAAUUAUUCGAUGAAUGUUUUGGAUUAAUUUUUGGUGAUUGUUCUUUUUUUUAACAAUGAUGGAAACUUUGUACUUCAAAUUAUUUAAUGAAUGUUUGGGAUUAAUUUGA